AUGCUCUGGUUUCUCUUCAGAACGAACAAAUCUUUCGCCUUUUAUUAAAUAUUUCCGUGGAGAGGAGGUUUUUUUUAUCAGUUGAAAGACAGAAUGAGUGUGCUUUAAUGUAAGCUCA